GACGAACGCUGGCGGCGUGCUUUAGGCAUGCAAGUCGAACGCGAAAGCCCCUUCGGGGGUGAGUAGAGUGGCGAACGGGUGAGUAACACGUGGGUAACCUGCCCCUCGCAGGGGGAUAACCGGGGGAAACCCCGGCUAAUACCCCGUACGCUUGCUGGGGCGCAUGCUCCGGCAAGGAAAGGUAGCUUCGGCCAUCCGGCGAGGGAGGGGCCCGCGGCCCAUUAGCUAGUUGGUGGGGUAACGGCCCACCAAGGCGACGAUGGGUAGCUGGCCUGAGAGGGUGGUCAGCCACACUGGGACUGAGACACGGCCCAGACUCCUACGGGAGGCAGCAGCCAGGAAUCUUGCGAAAUGGGCGAAAGCCUGACGCAGCAACGCCGCGUGGGCGAUGAAGGCCUGCGGGUCGUAAAGCCCUGUUGUCGGGGACGAAGGGCGAAGGGUUAAGAGCCCCUAGCCUGACGGUACCCGACGAGGAAGCCCCGGCUAACUACGUG
rnacentral:rRNA from 1 species